CUUGGAAACAGCUGCACCAUUUCCUCUGGAUUAGGAAAAGGCUGCUUUAUGCCUUGUUUUGGGACUGGGCUCUGGGAAGUGCUGAGCCGAAAGAGCCGUGAGGACGUCCUGCAGCCAAAAAGGCAUCCAGCUCACUGUUAGAAGAAGGGCGCAGAGACAGAAGUUGCUCAGCCAUGGGAAGACCCGCCAUGCUCUCCCUCUCACUGGCCACGCCAUGGAUCUGUGCAGCAAUGGAGCACCUGAAUGCAGUAAUGGAGGAGAAAGAAGAAAGAACUGCCAUCCUUCUAUUUUGCCAAGAGGAGGAAAACAGCAUGGAGCCAUACGACGCAGAAAAAUGUCUGCAUGCUGAGAGCGGUGCUGCACACAGCUCGUGUCCUAUGCGUGAAUUUCGUUUGCAAAAGAACUGCCGGGAUUGUUCUGCAAAGAGCACCCACUCCUCCAGCCCGGCCCUCCCCGGGCGCUCUCACUGCUUCGCUUCCUCCUUCUGGCUGUGAAGUCUGAAAGGAGCUCACGGAGGAGCAACGGGAUCAGUGCUCCCCUCUCACCCUCUGCUGCAGAAGAAGAAAGAGGUUUGAUUAAGUCCUCUAAAAGUAUUAAGGCUGAAUCAGACCACAAAAAGGAAAACAAACAAACAAACAAACAAACCCGUGCUCUAUGCUCACAAAAAAUGUCACCUUCCUAACGGCUGCAGUCAAAUCCUUUAGAGCCGGUAUUUACAAUCAAAUGUAUUCAAAUAUCUCCGAGCCCUAGCGCAGAUGACACCAAAAGGACCAUUUGCUAUAACUUAAACAAGUGCUCUGUAGUUCUCGGGUUAGCUCCUAAUGAAAACCGAAGGAAGGACCUACUGCCAGGGAUGCACACACACACACACACACACACACACACACACACACACACACACACACACGCAUAUUUCAUCCAACCCACCGCUACCAGCCCCGGGUCGCACUGAUUAACACUUUUCACGUAAACACACUUUUUCUUCCUUGAAAUGUUAAUGCCUGCUUAGUGCAAGGUGAAAGUCUAUCCAAAGACCGAAUCCCUUAAGAGUGUUAAUUAAACAGGACAAUAAUAAUCCACCGGUGAUUUAUGGCGAGGUGGAUGACUAGACCAUAGUGGUUGGUCUGAUAGGCAUUUAUUGCCUACUUAACCAUUUAAGUAUAACAAAAAAAAUCAUUGUGGUACAAAAGGUGAUGAAUGUUGCUGCUAAAACAGUCCAUUAAGAUGAUUCAUUAACAUUACAAAGAGGUCUGCAGCCUCUGUGCCACUUGGAGCCCGUAAAAGUCUGGGAAAGUGAGAGACAUUACCAUAGGAAAUGCUUUAUGCUAAAUGCGCGCUGAUAGAAUCUAAAGUCCACUUUCUGCAGAUAACAUCACUUUUUACAUUUUGCACUACAAGGUCCGAGGAUGCUUUGUACUUCUUAUUUCUGCAGCUAGAGAAUGUAUCUUCCUAACAGAGCAGCGCGGGAGGAGAGGAGUAAUAAAAGUCACAAUGCUCUGGCACACAUCUGAGCCUUUCAUACUUCCCUUUGAACUGAUGUCACUGGAAUGCCGAACCGCUGGUUGCACCACUGCGGAGCGACCGAGAGCCAUGAGUUAUAGUCACAGUGGUUACAACUUUAUUAAAUGCACACCAAGAAAAGCUACUACAAUGAUCUUCCCAGGUCAAAUAACAGCGGAUUCCUGCUGUGGGACAGCAAGGAGAUGUGCCACGGACGGAUGAUACAUGAAACAGUAUAAGGGUUAAAUCAGAGUGUAAAUGUAUCUAAAAAUACCAAAUUAUGAUCUCAGUACCUUCCUAACAAGUGAUUCCCAGUAACUAAUGAAGCCUGACUCCUUAUGGAUUUAUGCCACAUCUCUCACACCUCCCCAUCAGAACAACACCCAUUGUCCUCUGCCAUAGCCGCGCUGUAAUAACGCCCUGGUGUCCCUUAGCCAGCCCCAGGCUUUUUGGAUUUGCCAGCUGAAGAAAACAGUGCAUUUGCUAAGGAGUGAUAGAGUGAUCUGCAAAUCAGAAUCAUUUGCUGCUGUCAGCCAUGAUGAAGAAUUGCUAAAUUCUGCCUUCUUCUCGAUGGGAGCAUUAAUAAGAACUCCCUCCUCUUGGUAGGUGCUAACUCUUGCAAAAUUGCUAAGGACACAGCACCUUUGAAACUCCUCUGCAACCUGUGACAAAUGUGUCAGCAUAUUGGAAACUGGGUCAGACAAAUAAGGAGAUUGUGUAAGCAGUUCCCCAGGGAGCCAGACGAAGAGGCAUGAUAGGAUCUCCACUGACCAGAAGUUGCUAGACUCUUGUUUAUGUACUUCAUCUGAGGCGGAGCAUCCCCCAGUGCUUCCUCAAUUACAGGAAGUGUGUGCAGCACCUGUUCAGACUACCUGGGCUAGCUGCAAACAAGCUAGACUGGGUUCCAGGAGCACAGGACACUUGCUAACAAAUUCUGCUUCUCAGUAUGUAAUUAGCCUACUUUACUUCUCAGUAAAUGAAUUAGCACAGCUACACUACA
ensembl:lncRNA